rnacentral:rRNA from 1 species
GGAAUUGACGGGGCCCGCACAAGCGGUGAGCAUGUGGUUUAAUUCGAAGCAACGCGAAGAACCUUACCAGGUCUUGACAUCCCCUGACAACCCGAGAGAUCGGGCGUUCCCCUUCGGGGGGACAGGGUGACAGGUGGUGCAUGGUUGUCGUCAGCUCGUGUCGUGAGAUGUUGGGUUAAGUCCCGCAACGAGCGCAACCCUCGACCUUAGUUGCCAGCAUUCAGUUGGGCACUCUAAGGUGACUGCCGGCUAAAAGUCGGAGGAAGGUGGGGAUGACGUCAAAUCAUCAUGCCCCUUAUGACCUGGGCUACACACGUGCUACAAUGGUUGGUACAACGAGUUGCGAGUCGGUGACGGCGAGCUAAUCUCUUAAAGCCAAUCUCAGUUCGGAUUGUAGGCUGCAACUCGCCUACAUGAAGUCGGAAUCGCUAGUAAUCGCGGAUCAGCACGCCGCGGUGAAUACGUUCCCGGGCCUU